GCCCUCGGCUUUCCGCCAUGACACUGGAGGCAAAGGCCUGAGAGGACCGGCCUGCGGGGAGGAGGGAAGAGUCGCCCCCUCCGGUUCUGAUGCGUCUUACGCGAGGCCGCGGCUCUGCACCUGCUGGAGCUUGCCUUGGGAGAUGAGGCGCUGCGUCCCCAGGGCGGGGAGGCACAACGGGGCGUGCUCAGGUGGGAGAGGCAAAUCCCUCUCCACAGCCGUGAAGAGGAAAUUAUUGGUUCAGCCAUGAAGCAGCCUAGGGAAACCCAACCAAGUAACCACAUCCUUUGCAUUAAGGAGAAAACACUUGAGAAUCGCUGCUCUGUGGUAUAGCAUCAAAGAUACUAGAGUAACUCAGCCAAGGGUCAGGCAGUUUCUGGCAUGGUGGCUUUGAAGGGUGCUCCUUCCACACCUGCAGAAAAUCUGACCGUGAUGAAGAGAAGAAAGAAGUAGAAAGAGUAGGGAGGACAUGUUCAGCAAGAUCCUGCAAGGCAGUGCUGCAUUGGACCAUGAAUGAAGGGCCUAGAGGGCGAAUAUGUCAAGAACAUGAAAAAGGAAAGACAGACAGAAGAAAGGCCCAGGAGUCCCAAUAAAACAAGGAGAGGACAUGCAUUAGGACACAAUGGGUCUUCUCAUGCAGCAAACCCAAAAGCUGCAAGUCCUGGCUGACCUGCAGGUCCAAAAAUUCCAGACUCCCCACGCUUUGCAGUCCUUGGAGAAUUCCAUGGUCACUUCUUCCUCCUCACCCCCAACAUACCAUGUGGCAUCAUGGGCUGCAUCCUUACCCCUACCACUCCAUGCUGGGGGACAGCAAGGAAAAUCACAACUUCAUAUACACUGACCUGUGAAAACCACGGCGGGUGUAUGUGUAGCCAUAAUGGACUACAUUUAUGCACUGAAAUGUCCACCUCUACCUAGUUCCUAGGGCUCAAGGCGUAACCCAGUUAAUCUAGGCACACCCACCCUUUCCCAGUUCCUAGGACUCCAGGUGAAAGGCACCUCACUUUACCCAAAGAACUUCCUUUUGGACCCCAGUUUAUAUACCUUAACAAAGCUAAAACUAUAAAGAAAUAAGGAUUUCACAAACACAACUGUGAUAAGUGAUUUUUUUGUCUGUUACAUAAUUAAUUUUGCUAGGUAUAAAUCAAUUAAGGUGGUGGGGUCUGACUGGCUAGAAAAUUUUGUUACAAUAUGUUAGGAUUAGACAGAAACAAUCAAAGAACCAGACAGAGAUCAUACAGACAAACAAUAGGAAAGUGGGGACCAGAAAGAUAAAACAAUAAAUGAGGAUUUCACAACCACAACUGUGAUAAGUGAUUUUUUUGCCAGACAGAAAGCUAUCAAACUAAGUUUUCUUU